rnacentral:lncRNA from 1 species
UAGACAUCAUACAUAUAUAAGCAUGCAGUUUUAAAGAGUACUACUUACCGUCUUGUCGUUCAAGAGGUGUGUAGUCAGGAUGGUUGAGGAGUAAGAGAGAUCUUUUCAUUUACACAUACGGAUGGAGCAUUGUACAUUUUCAGUGGAAACCUUCCUGCCAGCGCAUAUGGUUUUCUAAACAGAGUAGUUGCAGAAUUGCAUGCAGUUUUGACGGCAGUAGAGAGAGAAACAAUUUUUCAUAGUUGGUAUGCAUUUUCCUAACUCUUGUUGUUUUAAUAGGUUGAUUGCAUUUUAAGCAAACUCUAUAAAUACAUACAUCUCCGAGACAAAGUCCAUGGCCUAAUUUAGGUAUUCUCUUGUAUAGGCUCUGUUAGCAGUUGGAAAGGGUUUUUCUUUUGCUUGUUUCUUUGCUUGUUUUACAAGGAGAGUUCUGUCAGGCACAGCUCUAGUUGACUUGCCCUUCCCUGCUUUUUUGGACUCACUAAUUCUCCUUCUUGCAUCCAGGGUCACCGAUCAGGCACAGGGACAGUCCUGCUCUCCAGCAAGCAGGUCUGCAGAUCAAGCUGUGAGGAAGAGUCAUUGUAUGCCAACGUAGGGAAAAUGAGAGGGGAUCCAGCCAGAUUCUGAGUUACCCAGCACAUGAGAUGGCAUUCACGUGGAUUGCUGCGUGGAUUGCCCUCUCCCCUGUGAGGAUUCAUAUUCUGGGGGCAGGAUCCU